GUCUUUUUGAUAAUAAUUUAAAGUCUAGCCUGCCCAAUGAUAAUUGAAUGGCCGCGGUAUUUUGACCGUGCUAAGGUAGCAUAAUCAAUAGUUUUUUAAUUGAAAGCUGGAAUGAAGGGUUGGAUAAAAAAAUAACUGUUUUUAUUUAAUUUAAUUAGAAUUUUAUAUUUAAGUUAAAAAGCUUAAAUUUUGUUAAAAGACGAGAAGACCCUAUAGAGUUUAAUAAAUAAUUAUAUUAUUAUAUUUAGAAUUAAUUUUAUUAGUUAUAUUAUUUAUUUAAUUGGGGUGAUUAAAAAAUUCAAAUAACUUUUUUUAUAUUAUAACAUUUAUAGAUGAAUAUUUGAUCCAUAGUUAAUGAUUAAAAGAUAAAAUUACCUUAGGGAUAACAGCGUUAUUUUUUUUUAGAGUUCAAAUCGAAAGAAAAGAUUGCGACCUCGAUGUUGGAUUAAAAUAAAUUUUUGGUGUAGAAGCUAAAAUAUUAGGUCUGUUCGACCUUUAAAAUUUUACA
rnacentral:rRNA from 1 species